AAUCAGUCGAAGAUACCAGCUGGCUGCAACUGUUUAUUAAAAACACAGCACUGUGCAAACACGAAAGUGGACGUAUACGGUGUGACGCCUGCCCGGUGCCGGAAGGUUAAUUGAUGGGGUUAGCGGUAACGCGAAGCUCUUGAUCGAAGCCCCGGUAAACGGCGGCCGUAACUAUAACGGUCCUAAGGUAGCGAAAUUCCUUGUCGGGUAAGUUCCGACCUGCACGAAUGGCGUAAUGAUGGCCAGGCUGUCUCCACCCGAGACUCAGUGAAAUUGAACUCGCUGUGAAGAUGCAGUGUACCCGCGGCAAGACGGAAAGACCCCGUGAACCUUUACUAUAGCUUGACACUGAACAUUGAGCCUUGAUGUGUAGGAUAGGUGGGAGGCUUAGAAGUGUGGACGCCAGUCUGCAUGGAGCCGACCUUGAAAUACCACCCUUUAAUGUUUGAUGUUCUAACGUUGACCCGUAAUCCGGGUUGCGGACAGUGUCUGGUGGGUAGUUUGACUGGGGCGGUCUCCUCCUAAAGAGUAACGGAGGAGCACGAAGGUUGGCUAAUCCUGGUCGGACAUCAGGAGGUUAGUGCAAUGGCAUAAGCCAGCUUGACUGCGAGCGUGACGGCGCGAGCAGGUGCGAAAGCAGGUCAUAGUGAUCCGGUGGUUCUGAAUGGAAGGGCCAUCGCUCAACGGAUAAAAGGUACUCCGGGGAUAACAGGCUGAUACCGCCCAAGAGUUCAUAUCGACGGCGGUGUUUGGCACCUCGAUGUCGGCUCAUCACAUCCUGGGGCUGAAGUAGGUCCCAAGGGUAUGGCUGUUCGCCAUUUAAAGUGGUACGCGAGCUGGGUUUAGAACGUCGUGAGACAGUUCGGUCCCUAUCUGCCGUGGGCGCUGGAGAACUGAGGGGGGCUGCUCCUAGUACGAGAGGACCGGAGUGGACGCAUCACUGGUGUUCGGGUUGUCAUGCCAAUGGCACUGCCCGGUAGCUAAAUGCGGAAGAGAUAAGUGCUGAAAGCAUCUAAGCACGAAACUUGCCCCGAGAUGAGUUCUCCCUGACUCCUUGAGAGUCCUGAAGGAACGUUGAAGACGACGACGUUGAUAGGCCGGGUGUGUAAGCGCAGCGAUGCGUUGAGCUAACCGGUACUAAUGAACCGUGAGGCUUAACCUUACAACGCCGAAG
rnacentral:rRNA from 1 species